CCUGGCUCAGAUUGAACGCUGGCGGGAUGCUUUACACAUGCAAGCCGAACGGCAGCACGGACUUCGGUCUGGUGGCGAGUGGCGAACGGUGAGGACGUAUCGGAACGUGCCUAGUAGCGGGGGAUAACGCUGCUGGAAAAGCGGUGGAAGCUAAUACCUGCAUGGCCUCUGGGAAAGCGGGGACCUUCGGGCCUCGCACUAUUAGAGCGGCCGAUAUCGGAUUAGCUAGUUGGUGGGGUAACGGCUCACCAAGGCGACGAUCCGUAGCUGGUUUGAGAGGACGACCAGUCACACCUGGACUGAGACACGGCCCAGACUCCUACGGGAGGCAGGGAAUUUUGGACAAUGGGGGAAACCCCUGAUCCAGCCAUCCCGCGUGUGCGAUGAAGGCCUUCGGGUUGUGCAGCCACUUUUGGCAGGAAAGAAACGGCACGGGAUAAUACCUCGUGCAACUGACGGUACCUGCAGAAUAAGCACCGGAUAACUGCUGUGCCAGCAGCCGCGGUAAUACGUAGGGUGCAAGCGUUAAUCGGAAUUACUUCGGGCGCGCAAAGCGCGCAGGCGGUUCGGAAAGAAAGAUGUGAAAUCCCAGAGCUUAACUUUGAACUGCAUUUUUAACUACCGGUUUCCAGAGUGUGUCAGAGGAGGUGGAAUUCCGCGUAGCAGUGAAAUGCGUAGAUAUGCGAGAACACCUGAUGGCGAAGGCAGCUCUCCUGGGAUAACACUGACGUCAUGCACGAAAGCGUGGGAGCAAACAGGAUUAGAUACCCUGGUAGUCCACGCCCCAAACGAUGCUGAAUUAGCUGUUGUAUUUUCGGCCUGCAGAUGGCAGCUUAACUGCGUGAAGUUGACCGCCUGGGGAGUACGGUCGCAAGAUUAAACUCAAAGGACUGAUUUAAGACCCGCAUGGGCGGUGGAUGAUGGGAUUAAUUCGAUGCAACGCGAAAAACCUUACCUACUCCUUGACAUGUCUGGAAUCCCGAAGAGAUUUGGGAGUGUCGCGCGAGAACCGGAACACAGGUGCUGCAUGGCUGUCGUCAGCUCGUGUCGAGAUGUUGGGUUAAGUCCUGCAACGAGCGCAACCCUUUGUCAUUAGCCAUAUUGAGGCGGCACCCUGACGAGACUGCUAAGACAAACUGAGGAAAAGGGAUGACGUCAGUUCUCAUGGCCCUGGCGGUAGGGCUUCACACGUCACACAUUAUCGGGACAGGUCGCCAACCCAGAGGGGGAGCCAAUCCCAGAAACCCGAUCAGUCCGGAUCGCAGCUCGCAACUCGACCGUGCGGUCGGAAUCGCUAGCACUCGCGGAUCAGCAUGUCGCGGUGAAUACGUUCCCGGUCUUGUACACACCGCCCGUCACACCAUGGGAGUGGGUUUUACCAGAAGUAGUUAGCCUAACCGUAAGGAGGGCGAUUACCACGGUAGAUUCAUGACUGGGGUGAAGUCGUAGAAUAAGGUAA
rnacentral:rRNA from 1 species